AUGGACAUGGAGCACACCGAUCUGCUACUGGACAUACUGCGCCGCCUCCCACCGUGCAGCCUGGCCGUCUCCCGCUGCGUCUGCACGGCCUGGCGCGGCACAGUUGACCACCAUCAUCUCCUGCGCGCCGACCUGCUGCCGCUCUCCCUCGACGCCGUCAUCUACAACGAACUUCAGAUGGACCCGCCGAAGCUCUUCGGUCGCCGCUUAACCACGCGCUACAUCACCAGCAACCUCGACUACGUCGCCGACGACCCGGAUUACACCGACUUCGUACUGGACUACUGCAACGGUCUCUUCUUGGUCGAGAGCGUGAAGGUGGUCAAUCCCGCCACACGGCAAUGGGCGCGGCUGCCGCUGGUGAAGUGCGGACCCUGCCACAGUAACCGCUAUCUCGCCUAUGACCCCACUGUCUCGCCACACUACGAGGUGUUCUUCAUCCCUCGUAUUCGGGCUGCUUCAGCCGAAACGAUCUGCAGCGCUUUGGAAGGAGAAGUCAUGCAUGUCUACUCCUCAAAGACACACGUUUGGAAGGAGAAGUCAUUUGUGCGAGAAGGUGAUGCUGCGGGAACAAUCCAAGAUGUGCAAUCAUGUUAUAAUUCUGAUCGGAGUAUGUACUACACCGCUUACUGGCAAGGGUCACUCUACGUUCCUUCCAGACACAUAAAAAAUGCUUUUCUUUUGAGAAUAAACUUGUCGACAGAUAAGUAUCAAGUAAUUAAGUUGCCAAAAGCAGGCGUAGGAGAUUUCCGUCUAGGAAGAUCGAAGAAAGGUGUCUAUUGUGUAUUGCACACCAAUGUUCCAUGCACAUUUCAGGUCUGGUUUCUUCAUGAAUCAUGUGGUUCGAUAGACUGGGUUUUCAAGAAUGAAAUCAAUCUUGAGCCAGCAUUUAGUAAAGAAUGGCAUGCUGGACCAUGGAUUCCACAACCUCCUGAGAAGAUAGAAUUGUUGUUGCAGAAUGAUGUCAACCUUAAGCUUGUAGAUGAAUACAACCAAGCACUACGGAAAGAUGAUUUUGAAUGGGACUCUGAGGAUGAAAAUGUUGUGAGCAUUACAGACUGGCCUAAAAAGUGUGACGAUGACAUCAGAGUUCUUUAUUGUCUUGGUUUUCAUCCUUACAAAGAAAUUGUCUUGUUUCAUCAAACUCGGCUGUGCCCUUGUUCAGUGGUAGCCUACCAUUUAAGCAGCUCAAAGGUACGAUACCUGGGUCAGUUGUUGCCCCGCUGCCGCUAUUCAACGGAAGAGAUUUCUUUUGCGUACACACCAUGUUGGAUGAUGGAUUUACCUGGAAGAAACUAA
rnacentral:rRNA from 1 species